rnacentral:snRNA from 1 species
GAGGCUCAAGUUGAGUUU